GUCCAGGGAUGGGGAUCGAACCCACAGUGUUCCGCUUACCGGGCAGAUGCCAUGUCCACUAGGCUACCCUGGA
rnacentral:tRNA from 1 species